rnacentral:rRNA from 1 species
ACAGCAGCAGCCGCGGUAAUACGGAGGGAGCUAGCGUUAUUCGGAAUUACUGGCGUAAAGCGCACGUAGGCGGCUUUGUAAGUUAGAGGUGAAAGCCCAGAGCUCAACUCUGGAAUUGCCUUUAAGACUGCAUCGCUUGAAUCCAGGAGAGGUGAGUGGAAUUCCGAGUGUAGAGGUGAAAUUCGUAGAUAUUCGGAAGAACACCAGUGGCGAAGGCGGCUCACUGGACUGGUAUUGACGCUGAGGUGCGAAAGCGUGGGGAGCAAACAGGAUUAGAUACCCGUGUAGUCCCUGUCUCUUAUACC